rnacentral:lncRNA from 1 species
CUGGACUUGCCCCGGCGAGUCGGGGACCGUGCUGGGCUGUUACUUCACGCUUCUAUGUCUGCWGCGUCUCAGCGCCUCUCCAGCGCUAUUGGAAUAGAACCUCCAGCUCCCCCACCAGCCUGGAAGCCCCAGGGAGGGAGCAGCAUUCACUUUUUCAGCCACACGCCCCAGCCCCCUCACUUAUGGAGAUGCAUGCCCGUGUUGAAUUUUCUCAGCACCCCUCUGCGAUGUUCCAGCAGCCACCACUCCAGAAGCACAUCAAACUUGGGUUCCCUUCCUUUCCUGUUCAAAGUGAGGCAGUCCACAAUUAUUUGUAGGGGAUGUCAAGAGUCCAGAAAAGCUGACUUGGAUAGAACAAGAUGUGCUAGCAUGCAGCUUGCUAAUGCUUGUACCUUCUGUGUUGGAAGCAAAUAUUCCAGAUCAGCAGUAGAAGAACGUGGAUUGAUUCACACUGAAUUUUGGGCUCGCUGACCUCGACAUUCGCUGAAUGUGGACUAUCAG